rnacentral:tRNA from 1 species
AAAGCUUUAGUUUAAUUUUAAAAUGUCUCUUUGUCACGGAGGAGCUUGACAGCUUUU